CCUACGGGGGGCUGCAGUGGGGAAUAUUGGACAAUGGGGGGAACCCUGAUCCAGCCAUGCCGCGUGUGUGAAGAAGGCCCUCGGGUUGUAAAGCACUUUCAGUGAGGAAGAACGCCUGGUGGUUAAUACCCAUCAGGAAAGACAUCACUCACAGAAGAAGCACCGGCUAACUCCGUGCCAGCAGCCGCGGUAAUACGGAGGGUGCGAGCGUUAAUCGGAAUUACUGGGCGUAAAGCGCGCGUAGGUGGCUUGAUAAGCCGGUUGUGAAAGCCCCGGGCUCAACCUGGGAACGGCAUCCGGAACUGUCAAGCUAGAGUGCAGGAGAGGAAGGUAGAAUUCCCGGUGUAGCGGUGAAAUGCGUAGAGAUCGGGAGGAAUACCAGUGGCGAAGGCGGCCUUCUGGGCUGACACUUACACUGAGGUGCGAAAGCGUGGGUAGCAAACAGGAUUAGAUACCCUUGUAGUC
rnacentral:rRNA from 1 species